rnacentral:rRNA from 1 species
GACGAACGCUGGCGGCGUGCUUAACACAUGCAAGUCGAACGAUGAAGAAGAGAAACGCGAACUUCGGUUCAACUUUCACUUUGGAUUAGUGGCAGACGGGUGAGUAACGCGUGAGCAACCUACCUCUUACAAAGGGAUAGCCUCGGGAAACCGUGAUUAAUACCAUAUGACACAUUCAUAAGGCAUCUUAAGAAUGUUAAAGCUACGGCGGUAAGAGAUGGGCUCGCGUCCCAUUAGCUAGUUGGUGAGGUAACGGCCCACCAAGGCGACGAUGGGUAACCGGCCUGAGAGGGUGAACGGUCACAUUGGAACUGAGACACGGUCCAAACUCCUACGGGAGGCAGCAGUGGGGAAUAUUGCACAAUGGAGGGAACUCUGAUGCAGCGACGCCGCGUGAGCGAUGAAGGAAUUCGUUUCGUAAAGCUCUGUUCUAUGGGAAGAAAAGGACUGUACCAUAGGAGAAAGCCCCGGCUAAAUACGUG